ACUCCUACGGGAGGCAGCAGUGAGGAAUUUUGCGCAAUGGGGGAAACCCUGACGCAGCAACGCCGCGUGAGUGAAGAAGGCUUUCGGGUCGUAAAGCUCUGUCAAGUGGGAAAAAAAUCUGAUGAUUAAUAGUUGUCAGAUCUGAUGGUACCACUGGAGGAAGCACCGGCUAACUCCGUGCCAGCAGCCGCGGUAAUACGGAGGGUGCAAGCGUUGUUCGGAAUUACUGGGCGUAAAGGGCGUGCAGGCGGGUUGGUAAGUCAGAUGUGAAAGCCCUGGGCUCAACCCAGGAAGUGCAUUUGAAACUGCCAUCCUAGAGUAUGGGAGAGGAGAGUGGAAUUCCCAAUGUAGAGGUGAAAUUCGUAGAUAUUGGGAGGAACACCCGUGGCGAAGGCGACUCUCUGGACCAAUACUGACGCUGAGACGCGAAAGCGUGGGGAGCAAACAGGAUUAGAUACCCUGGUAGUCCACGCUGUAAACGAUGAGAACUAGGUGUAGCGGUUAUUGACCCCUGCUGUGCCGAAGUUAACGCAUUAAGUUCUCCGCCUGGGGAGUACGGCCGCAAGGCUAAAACUCAAAUGAAUUGACGG
rnacentral:rRNA from 1 species